rnacentral:rRNA from 1 species
CAUCCUUGGGAUACCACCCUUGUAGUACUGGGACUCUAACCAUAGGCCAUGAAUCUGGUCUUGGGACACUGUCAGGUGGGCAGUUUGACUGGGGCGGUCGCCUCCCAAAAGGUAACGGAGGCGCUCAAAGGUUCUCUCAGUACGGUCGGAAAUCGUACGUAGAGUGUAAAGGCAAAAGAGAGCUUGAUUGCAAGACAUACAGGUCGAGCAAGGAUGAAAAUCGGACUUAGUGAUCCGGUGGUUCUGCGUGGAAGGGCCAUCGCUCAACGGAUAAAAGCUACCCUGGGGAUAACAGGCUUAUCUCCCCCAAGAGUCCACAUCGACGGGGAGGUUUGGCACCUCGAUGUCGGCUCAUCACAUCCUGGGGCUGUAGUAGGUCCCAAGGGUUGGGCUGUUCGCCCAUUAAAGUGGUACGCGAGCUGGGUUCAGAACGUCGUGAGACAGUUCGGUCCCUAUCCGUCGCAGGCGUAGGAAAUUUGAGAAGACCUGUCCUUAGUACGAGAGGACCGGGAUGGACGUACCUCUGGUGUACCAGUUGUUCUGCCAAGGGCAUGGCUGGGUAGCUAUGUACGGAAUGGAUAAGCGCUGAAAGCAUCUAAGCGCGAAGCCAACU